CUAAACACUGACGCUGAAAUCUGAUGCUGAACACUGAUAAUGAGGACUGACAGUGGACACUGACACUGGCCCUGAACAUUCAGACCAUGACCAACAAUUGGUAUUAGUGGUGGAAUUCCAGGAUUUUGACCGGUGAUAGUGAAGGAAUGGCGAAAUAUUUCCAAGUCAGGAUGAUAUACUAAGAUUCAGUUGUCGUUCUCAAAUGGAGAUCUUAUUGUCUGCAUAUCUGUUUCUCUGAGAGUGCCUCCAAACAACGAGGACAGCCUUCAACAUAUGCUGAACCGUUCUAGUGGAUUCAACAAGCUCAGUACAGUAAACAGCAUGAUCACUGGAAUACUCCAGUGGUAGAAGCCAAAGACUGUGAAUGGUGGAGUGCCAGAGGUCUUUGUGAAAAGGAGCACAUUUUGAGGUACGUUAACAGAAAUGAGGAAUUUUCUCAGAAGAGGAGAAGCUUCCAAACCAGAUUUGAAAAGCAUGUGUCCCGAAAACAUCUUCAGAGAAGAACAAACCACGAGGCGAGACCUACGCGGCAAACAAAGUUGGCAACUUCACUCAAAUCAGCACAGUAUUUGUUUCAAGCCACACUUUUGGCAGGAAAGUAAGAGUUAGGGUUAAAUGUGAAUUCAGUUAAAGCUAUAUAAGAUAAAUUAUGAGUGUUAAAUUUUGAGUUCUGAGGAAGGAUCACCAGAUCUGAAAUGUUAACUCUGUUUUUACCUUUACAGAUGCUGCUAAGCUUU